UCGCGCGUCAUUGCUUCCAUAGAGUUAGUAGAACAACUCUAGAGGAAAAGCUGGGCCGGAAAAGUGGGAACCUCUAGGGCGCCGCCCUGUUGCUACUGGUCAAUGUGGCCAGCGCAAUUACUAUUGAAAAAGCUGAGAACAAGUACAGUUCACCUUAUGCUUUGUCAUCUAAAAACGCAUACCUGAUGGCUUUAUGAAGGCGGUACGUUAAUAUUAAGUUUACAGAAAGCGAUCGCUAAGUCCGUGACUUAUGAAAAUCACGAUGUACGCAUUCAUGCAAUAAAAGAUGACGCGAAUUUCGGUUUCGAAUCUGUUUUUUGGAUGCGUAGUAGUUUCGUUUGACAUGCGAUCGCGCGUCGACAUCGGACGCUAUGGCACACUCGUGCCUUAUGUGCCACCGAAGCCCCGAAGUGGUCUGGCAUAUACCUUCACAUGUAAGUAAACGAAUGUAUCUCCUUGUUGAGAAUAUCACGCGAGUAGGCAGCUCUUGUGGUACAUCACAAUCGUUUGAGAAGCGUCACAGUAGAGCAUUUUUCUGCAUCCGGAGCGGUGUUUUUAUUUGCAGGUUUCCCUUCAGUAGGAAAUUGCUGGACAGGCGGACCAGCGCACCGGAAUUGUACUGGCGAAGCCACAAGCAACUCAAAGAGUCUGUUUAAUUGUUGCACUUUGAACAAUCAUGCUUCUACAAAGGCCACAGCAGAUCAACAGCCUGACGCCGAGUAUUUCUGUGCCACGAAGUAAUCAAGAGGCGAGUGCCUAAUGCGGACGAAAUCGAGUGCAUCGAGACUUAGAACGACAGAAAGCUGAGCUAGUUGGUAAGGAUUCAUUAUGCAAAACAGAGGUGAGGCGUGCAGACAGGACACAAGAGUAGAGAAGUGGGCGGCGCUCGUGUUGUUUACUAAAUACUCUACUCUUGUGUCCUGUCUGCACGCCUCACCUCCGUUUUGCAUAACGAGUGCAUCAACCCACAUAUUAAUAGCGUAGGCAUUUUGUUAACUGUGCAAUAUUUUCAACACUUCCUUGCAUGCCAUUUCAUGUGGAAUAUCUUUUCUGGUCACAAAUAUGUGCAGCGAAUCUAUUUGCAUGAUCGACUCCGGGCCUGUUGGACCGUUCACUUGCACUUGAUGCUGAGUCUUUUACAUGUAUCCAUAAACUGCAGAUGUGCACAUCAGAUCCCUGCGAGCAUUUUCAAAAUUCAAUUAUUAUAGACAACAGGCACAUAUGCAAUACUGACAUAAUCUCAAAUACCACUAAGCAGCUGGGACACAUUUUUGUUGACCAUACUCGCAGGUAAAAUAAGUACAUCAUGUGGACAGCUCCAGCUCAUUUUCCUUAAGUCAGUGUAUACAAGGGUUAUGCAAAAAUAAUUUUUUUCUUGCGAACCGAUUAUUUUGCUGUAUAAGCAAGAGAACCCACCACGUUAGUGUAACGUAUCUUGUGCAUCACACUAAUAUGUGGUUUCAUUUACCAAGUGAGAUGAGUUACUUUUAUGGCUCAUUCAGUCAUAUCACACUGCAAGCUGCAUUCAUCAAUCUUCGAUUGGAUUUUGCAAAUGUUUAAUGAAACAUGUUUCCCUUUUAUGCAGAUAUGCAAUGGCAAGCCCUUCCAUGUGUUCCAAAAGUAAAAUUUAAGCUCUAAAUUAAAUAAGAUAUUUCUAGUCAGAAACAAGCAAAAAUGGUGACUGCAGAGUAUCAGAAGCCCAAGGUACAGAAAUGAUAGAAGUGUCGAAUGAUUUUAAGGAAAGAGUCGUAUUUGAAAAUGCAAGACUCUUUAGUGGAGGUCAAGCAAGUCAAUAUAGGUAGAAUACUCUGCAAAAUUAUGCGAGUGAGGGGAUUUCGAACAAUGGGUCAGGAAAUGCAUUGUUUUUCUGCAAAACAAAAGCUGAUUGCCAUUGCAUAAGUCACUUUAGCAUCAUAAUAAAUUCAGAAAUAAACCAAAAAACAAGACACCCAAAAAUAAAAAAACCAUUUAAUGAUAUUCCAGCAGAACUUUUUGUUGGGCUAGUUGGUGCAUAUUACUGAAGUACUAUAGCGCCAUACAGACGACACAAGAAGAGGCACGAACAUAAGCGCUCGUCCGUGUGUCGUCUGUUUGGCACUAUAGUACUUCAGCCAAUUAAUGAUGCUCUCUCCACACUGGGAUAAACAAAAACAAACACAUCACAUCUAAUGUGGACAUAUCAGAUGUCUUGUGAAACACUAAAGGAACAAUUCAGUUUCGAGCUAUGGCACUUGCCGCAUAGAUGUGGGGUGGCCUUGCACCAAUAGUGAUAGUUACCACUGCAUUUACAAAUUGAAAGCAUUCGUGCAGACAAGGAUGAUUCUUUAUAUUUUUGGCUACCACUUCAAAUGCAUCCACCAAGUGUUACAAUGCUGCAUGCAGCCAUACUAAGGAUCUCGCAACAACACCUGCAGGUAAAAAGCAGAAGCAGUCAAAGUGCUGGUGUGUUCUGGACACUAUGUUUGAAAACUUUUAGGCAAGAAGAGUGCAAGAAGCAGACAUAACUGCAUUUAAUUCCAUAAUUCCCCAUCUAAAUGGCCUUUUCUUUUUGCUUUGACAAUGCCUACGCCUAGCCACAGCAGCUCCCUCAUACAGACUCCACAAACCAAGAGGCCGUGGAGGCAAAUGCAGGCAGCCAGCACACCUCGAACAGCCACCUUGACUGCGGGUGUGUCACCCUAGUCGCCAAGGAAACAUUUGAGGGAAAGUGACAGGCAAUGUGAACAGCCACUUCUCCAUGUAAACAAUACUCUUUCUCUCGGAUGACUCCUACGCCUCACCACGCCAGCACACUUGUGCACAAAGAUGCCGCAGAGGCACGUGCAGGUCAGAGGCAAGAAGCAGUGGCACUGGUGUCGACAUUUACCCAAUUUCUUUUUCUUGCACUGAGGCAGCCAGCACACCUCGAACAGCCACCUUGACUGCGGCUGUGUCAGUAGAUUCCUGUUGUACAUAUGCUCAUAAUAAACUUCAGUAAACCUGAACUUCAUAAUAAACUUGAAGGCAAAUGGGA